rnacentral:misc_RNA from 1 species
UAUGAAAUAAAACAAUGUAAACAAUACUUUCAGUGAAAACAGUACGAACUGCUUUACAACGUUGCAGUAAAAAUAUAAUUUGUUAUUCAUGUUAUUUUCAAAAUUACAAACACUAAUCUUCAUAUUUCUAUUAACAACUGUGAACAUCAGAGAAAAAGACCAAACAUGGGAACAAAAAGAAAUUCUUCCUAUGGGAUUCGGUUUCUUUAAAGAAAAGCAACAUUCAAAAAUAGUAAACGAGAAAUAUAAAUGUGUAUCUUUUCUUAGAAAACUGUUGGACUUUGUCCAAUAUUUGGAGCAUUCCUUCAUAAAUACUUUAAAAUGAAACGAAAGGAAUUAUAUUCGUGUGAAAUACGGCCGAGUGAAAAGAAACAAAAUAUUCCAAAUAUUUCUUAUGGUUAUUCUAAAAAAGGAGAAAUAAUUAUUCGAAUCCCCUGUAAAGAAGAUGCGAAAAUAACUGUUAGUGUUAAACAAUAGAAACACGUUCACUCUUAAAACGCGAUAGAAAUUAAUCGGAAUGUUUGUUUAGAGACUCGUGUAAAUGGUUGAAUUGACACGAAAAAUCUAUUCAUAUUCAUCAGUCAUUAAGAAGAAUUUUUGAUUUAAGUAAAAUGUGUAAAAUUUUCAU